ensembl:lncRNA
AUGGACCUGACAGAUUCAGAUACAGACCUGACAGAUACAUAUACAGACCUGACAGAUACAGACCUGACAGAUACAGAACUGACAGAUACAGACCUGACAGAUACAGAUACAGACCUGACAGAAACAGAACGGUCAGAUACAGAUACAGACCUGACAGAUACAGAUACAGACCUGAGAGAUACAGACCUGACACAUACAGAUACAGACCUGACAGAUACAGAUACAGACCUGACAGAUACAGACCUGACAGAUACCGAUACAGACCUGACAGAUACAGACCUGACAGAUACAGACUUGACAGAUACAGACCUGACAGAUACAGACCUGAGAGAUACAGAUAUAGACCUGACAGAUACAGACCUGAGAGAUACAGAUACAGACCUGACAGAUACAGAUACAAACCUGACAGAUACAGACCUGAGAGAUACAGACCUGACAGAUACAGAUACAGACCUGACAGAUACAGACCUGAGAGAUACAGAUACAGACCUGACAGAUACAGACCUGACAGAUACAGACCUGAGAUUCAGAUACAGACCUGACAGAUACAGACCUGAGAGAUACAGACCUGAGAGAUACAGACCUGACAGAUACAGACCUGAGAGAUACAGACCUGAGAGAUACAGACCUGAGAGAUACAGAUACAGACCUGGCAGAUACAGACCCAACAGAUACAGAUACAGACUUGACAGAUACAGAUACAGACCUGACAGAUACAGAUACAGACCUGACAGAUACAGAUACAGACCUGACAGAUAUAGAUACAGACCUGACAGAUACAGAUACAGACCUGACAGAUACAGAUACAGACCUGACAGAUACAGAUACAGAUACAGACCUGACAGAUACAUAUACAGACCUGACAGAUACAGACCUGACAGAUACAGACCUGACAGAUACAGACCUGAGAGAUACAGAUACAGACCUGACAGAUACAGACCUGAGAGAUACAGAUACAGACCUGACAGAUACAGCUACAGAGCAGACAGAUACAGAUACAGACCUGACAGAUACAUAUACAGACCUGAGAGAUACAGAUACAGACCUGACAGAUACAGAUACAGACCUGACAGAUACAUACCUGACAGAUACAGAUACAGACCUGAGAGAUACAGAUACAGACCUGACAGAUACAGAUACAGACCUGACAGAUACAGAUACAGACCUGACAGAUACAGAUACAGACCUGAGAGAUACAGAUACAGACCUGACAGAUACAGAUACAGACCUGACAGAUAUAGACCUGACAGAUACAUAUACAGACCUGAGAGAUACAGAUACAGACCUGACAGAUACAGAACUGACAGAUACAGACCUGACAGAUACAGAUACAGACCUGACAGAUACAGAUACAGACCUGACAGAUACAGAUACAGACCUGACAGACACAGACCUGACAGAUACAGAUACAGACCUGAGAGAUACAGAUAUAGACCUGACAGAUACAGAUACAAACCUGACAGAUACAGACCUGAGAGAUACAGACCUGACAGAUACAGAUACAGACCUGACAGAUACAGACCUGACAGAUACAGACCUGAGAGAUACAGAUACAGACCUGACAGAUACAGAUACAGACCUGACAGAUACAGACCUGACAGAUACAGAUACAGACCUGACAGAUACAGAUACAGACCUGACAGAUACAGACCUGACAGAUACAGAUACAGACCUGACAGAUACAGAUACAGACCUGACAGAUACAGACCUGACAGAUACAGACCUGAGAGAUACAGAUACAGACCUGACAUAUACAGACCUGACAGGUACAGACCUGACAGAAACAGGUAA